AGUGAACGCUGGCGGUAGGCCUAACACAUGCAAGUCGAACGGCAGCACAGUAAGAGCUUGCUCUUACGGGUGGCGAGUGGCGGACGGGUGAGGAAUACAUCGGAAUCUACUUUUUCGUGGGGGAUAACGUAGGGAAACUUACGCUAAUACCGCAUACGACCUACGGGUGAAAGCAGGGGAUCUUCGGACCUUGCGCGAUUGAAUGAGCCGAUGUCGGAUUAGCUAGUUGGCGGGGUAAAGGCCCACCAAGGCGACGAUCCGUAGCUGGUCUGAGAGGAUGAUCAGCCACACUGGAACUGAGACACGGUCCAGACUCCUACGGGAGGCAGCAGUGGGGAAUAUUGGAAAAUGGGCGCAAGCCUGAUCCAGCCAUACCGCGUGGGUGAAGAAGGCCUUCGGGUUGUAAAGCCCUUUUGUUGGGAAAGAAAAGCAGCAGGUUAAUACCCCGCUGUUCUGACGGUACCCAAAGAAUAAGCACCGACUAACUCCGU
rnacentral:rRNA from 1 species